rnacentral:rRNA from 1 species
UACGUAGGGGGCAAGCGUUGUCCGGAUUUACUGGGCGUAAAGAGCGCGUAGGCGGACGUUUAAGCGUAGCCUGAAAGCCCCCGGCUCAACCGGGGAGGGUGGCCGCGAACUGGACUUCUUGAGGGCGAUAGAGGAGAGCGGAAUUCCUGGUGUAGCGGUGAAAUGCGUAGAGAUCAGGAGGAACACCUGUGGUGUAGACGGCUUUCUGGACCAUAGCUGACGCUGAGACACGAAAGCGUGGGUAGCAAACAGG